rnacentral:rRNA from 1 species
GAUGAACGCUGGCGGCGUGCCUAAUACAUGCAAGUCGAGCGAACGGACGAGAAGCUUGCUUCUCUGAUGUUAGCGGCGGACGGGUGAGUAGCACGUGGAUAACCUACCUAUAAGACUGGGAUAACUUCGGGAAACCGGAGCUAAUACCGGAUGAUCUUUUGAACCGCAUGGUUCAAAAGUGAAAGACGGUCUUGCUGUCACUUAUAGCUGGAUCCGCGCUGCAUUAGCUAGUUGGUAAGGUAACGGCUUACCAAGGCAACGAUGCAUAGCCGACGUGAGAGGGUGAUCGGCCACACGGGAACUGAGACACGGUCCAGACUCCUACGGGAGGCAGCAGUAGGGAAUCUUCCGCAAUGGGCGAAAGCCUGACGGAGCAACGCCGCGUGAGUGAUGAAGGUCUUCGGAUCGUAAAACUCUGUUAUUGGGGAAGAACAUAUGUGUAAGUAACUGUGCACAUCUUGACGGUACCUAAUCAGAAAGCAACGGCUAACUACGUG